rnacentral:lncRNA from 10 species
CUUUGUCUCCGCGGAGCGUCACAAAGCUGCCUGGCUGCCUGGAGGAACAAAGGAGGGCCGGGCAAGAACGCCAUUACCAACUGCAAAUCCACAGGCAAAUGCAAGAGGACAGAAAGCGCUGCGAAUACGAGUGGGUCUCCACCACCAGAAUGGCUAAAGUGAAAAAGACCGCACCGUGUGGAGGCGAGAAAGUAGAGCGACUGGACCUCUCUUGUAUUUCUGGGGGAGUGUAAAUUGGUAGAGACAUUUUGGAAAACUGGCAGUUUUCUAAUGAAGCCGAACAUAUGCCACCUCUGUGAUCCAGCAGUUCCACUCCUAGGCUGUCAACACCCAGCAGAAAUGUGUAGGUGUGAGCAUCAAGAGGGUGCAUGGGAAUGUUCAGAGCCCUUUCAUAACAGCCCCAAACUGGAAAUAACCCAUCAACAGAAUGGAAAAUGAAUGAUGCCCUACUCACUACCAUGCACAUAGACACAGCAACGGGAUUGACAUGCCCGGCUACACACAGCAACAUAGACAAGUCGCAUGAUGAAAUCUUGAGUGACAGAAGCCAAAUGCAACAGUACAUACUAGAUGGUUCCAGGUGUAUUACGUUCAGAACCAGACAAAACUAAUUUAUAGUGCACCAAAGUCAAGAUAGUGAUCGCCCUU